rnacentral:rRNA from 1 species
GACGAACGCUGGCGGCGUGCCUAAUACAUGCAAGUCGAGCGAAGUUUUUCUGGUGCUUGCACUAGAAAAACUUAGCGGCGAACGGGUGAGUAACACGUAAAGAACCUGCCUCAUAGACUGGGACAACUAUUGGAAACGAUAGCUAAUACCGGAUAACAGCAUUAACUGCAUGGUUGAUGUUUAAAAGUUGGUUUUGCUAACACUAUGAGAUGGCUUUGCGGUGCAUUAGCUAGUUGGUGGGGUAAAGGCCUACCAAGGCGACGAUGCAUAGCCGACCUGAGAGGGUGAUCGGCCACACUGGGACUGAGACACGGCCCAGACUCCUACGGGAGGCAGCAGUAGGGAAUCUUCCGCAAUGGGCGAAAGCCUGACGGAGCAACGCCGCGUGGGUGAAGAAGGAUUUCGGUUCGUAAAGCUCUGUUGUUAGGGAAGAAUGAUUGUGUAGUAACUAUACACAGUUAGAGACGGUAC